UGGUUGUAACGUCGUCGAUAGCUGCGACAGCUUAAAGACCGUUUUGACGUUGGAAAGUGGUCCGUGUGAGCGUAGCCUUAGUUACAGAGUUCCAGCGUUCCAGCCCUCCUAGCGACAUCAUGGCGUCGGCGUCGCGUGGCUAAAUAUAAAAACGAACAACGAACCGCUAACCAGUCAGUGUGCGGCGUCAGGCGGCGUGUGGUGCGGCGAUACCUGUGGGCGAGACGCAGAGAGAAUAAGGUCAACUAAGAUUUUUAUUCUUAAUUUAAAUUUCUGUCCGUGCGGGUUCCUGCGAAAUCUUUGUUAAACCAACUUUAAACAAACAAUAAAAGUUAGACUUAAAAAUACUUCAAAUGGAUGCUGCGGGUAUCGCAUCUAUCAUCAACAGAGCUAACCAGCUUAACCCCAACAAUGUAGCCUAUUGGCUGUCCAGAGGAUUCGCGGCCAGACCAGAAAACUGGGCCGAAUUGGCUGGCCAGGCUGUAGUAGCCACAACUAGUGUGGGGGCCACCGCAGGGUUCCUUGCCACUGCUGGAACGGUCCUAUCUUUCGCUUCGACGGCAUAUUCUGUUUAUUCUGUAGGAAAAAUUGCAUAUGGACUAUACGGUUAUCUAUACAAAAAAUAAAAAUAUGUCUGUGCUAGGAACUUAUGAAUUUCUAGUUUUAUUUUUUGCAUAUUAAUUAUUAUUGUAUGUACAACCUUAUUCUUAUAAAUAAACUCAUUAUUAUAUUAUA